UACGUAGGGGGCAAGCGUUGUCCGGAAUCAUUGGGCGUAAAGCGCGUGUAGGCGGCUCGGUAAGUCCGCUCUGAAAGCCCGGGGCUCAACCCCGGGAGGCGGGUGGAUACUGCUGAGCUCGAGUCCGGAAGAGGAGUGUGGAAUUCCUGGUGUAGCGGUGAAAUGCGCAGAUAUCAGGAGGAACACCAAUGGCGAAGGCAGCACUCUGGGACGGUACUGACGCUGAGACGCGAAAGCGUGGGGAGCAAACAGG
rnacentral:rRNA from 2 species